GAUGAACGCUGGCGGCGUGCCUAAUACAUGCAAGUCGAGCGAACAGACGAGGAGCUUGCUCCUCUGACGUUAGCGGCGGACGGGUGAGUAACACGUGGAUAACCUACCUAUAAGACUGGGAUAACUUCGGGAAACCGGAGCUAAUACCGGAUAAUAUAUUGAACCGCAUGGUUCAAUAGUGAAAGACGGUUUUGCUGUCACUUAUAGAUGGAUCCGCGCCGCAUUAGCUAGUUGGUAAGGUAACGGCUUACCAAGGCAACGAUGCGUAGCCGACCUGAGAGGGUGAUCGGCCACACUGGAACUGAGACACGGUCCAGACUCCUACGGGAGGCAGCAGUAGGGAAUCUUCCGCAAUGGGCGAAAGCCUGACGGAGCAACGCCGCGUGAGUGAUGAAGGUCUUCGGAUCGUAAAACUCUGUUACUAGGGAAGAACAAAUGUGUAAGUAACUAUGCACGUCUUGACGGCACCUAAUCAGAAAGCCACGGCUAACUACGUG
rnacentral:rRNA from 1 species